rnacentral:lncRNA from 10 species
GCGGAGCCUGCGGGCCCGGCCCCAGAGCCUGGUCCACCCGGCUCCCUGCGAAAAUCACGUCCUGGAGCCGCAGCUUGACGUCUGCGCGAAAACUCGCAGUGCCCCGGGUCUUGGAGGGCUGGUUUUUUGUUAAUGAACAUUUUAAGAGGCGGAGACGGAGCGCUAGGCUGGAAGUUUCGAAUGCAACGACCAGCAGAUGACCUUGAGCGACUCUGAGCCUUUGCCUGGAGGUGGUGGCAACCGCCAGAGGUGUGUGCAUUUCCUGUAAGGAUCGGUCCUUUCAGUGGGGAAUUGUGAGAAUGACAUUCGACGAUGAGCUGGGAAACAGGAACCCCAAACCCGUGUGCUUCCUGCGCCGAGCCGUGUGCCUCCGCCUGGUGUGCGCCGUGGGUUCGUCCUUCGCUCCAGACUGCGUUCAAUGCAACAGAUACGGGUGGCACAAGCAUGUGGCCCCACCAUCAUCUCUCCCCUUUGCAUGAUAAAGAGACCGACCAGCAAUGCAGGGGCCGUGGGGAAGAUCCCACACAGCCCCUACACGUCACAGAUAAAAGUCCUUAGAGACAGAAAGGGGAGCAGAACCAGGAUUCAAACCCCAGUCUCCAAAGCAAAGCCCUGAGUUCAUUUCAUUACAGCAAAGAUGCACUGUGCAUUCCAAGCAAUAAAUGGUGUCAAGUCCAUUUAGGGCGGUAUAAUGUCGGAAUAAAAAAUAUAUAUUCGCGGGCCAGGCACGGUGGCUCACACCUGUAAUCCCAACACUUUGGGAGGCCAAGGCAGGUGGAUCAUGAGGUCAGGAGUUCAAGACCAGCCUAGUCAAUAUGGUGAAACCCCAUCUCUACUAAAAACUACAAAAAAUUAGCUGGGCAUGGUGGCACACACCUGUAGUCCCAGCUACUCAGGAGGCUGAGGCAGGAGGAUCACUUGAACCCGGGAGGUGGAGGUUACAGUGAACCGAGAUCGCAC